UGGGGCCAAAGGACCUCAUGACUUAGCUGUGACUUGGGGCAAGGUUUAAUGACCUAACUAAAUAUUAGGGCGUUGGCUUAAUCAGUCACCAUCAAAUUGAGCAUUGUUGCAUGUUGAGGACUUUACUCAGAACCAUACAACAGAAUUUUAGAAGGCAGCUUUUCUCGUUGCAGUGUACAUUUUAAGGCUUGGAGUAUGGAUUGGGAUUGUUUUUAUUUUGUGCAUUUGUAAAAUGUUUUGUUGUCAUUGCUAUUCACAAUAAUCUUAAAAUUUAGCUCCUCCAAAGGAAUUAAUAGGGUCCUGUCACUGAGGAACCUGGACUUGAUCUAAUCUAACCCAAGGCUUUCAUUCAUAAAGGCAAAGCAAACAUCAAGAAAUUUAACCAAGAUUACAAUAAAGUAACUUGUGGUAAACUCUGGAGUGUCUAUCAAUAAGUAAAUUCUCCUACUCCUCUCUCUUUCUCCCUGUGUCUCUCUGGACAGCUGAUCACAGAUGCCUUAUAUUACAGUUAUUUCUAGAUGUCUUGACCCUCUCCACUGGAAAUUCUCAAGGGCGCGAUCUGUCUCAUAUUCCUUUUUCCAUUUCCAUGCUGCCAGGUGCCACUAACCGUUCACUGAGAUAAUCAUGGUGCUGAACUUGAUUUCAAUUGUCUAACAGGCUGCCUGCGCAUUUAUUUACAAAGACAGAGGCCACACACUUAAAAUAAAAUUGUGCCAUAGUUUUCACUUGACUGGGAAAGGACAGACCAGAGCCAAGCUUUGGUUUGACCUCCAACUAACUUACUUUCUUUUUUUUCUUUCUUUUAAGAUUUUUAGUUAUUUAUUUGACAGAGAGAGAGGGAGAGAGCACGAGCAGGGGAAGCAGCAGAGGGAGAAGGAGAAGCAGACUCCCCACUGAACUGGGAACCUGAUGCAGGACUCAAUCCCAGGACCCCAGGAUCAUGACCUGAGCUGAAGGCAGACACUUACCUGACUGAGCCACCCAGGUGCCUCUGACCUCCAGCUUUCACUUUGAAAUGCCCAAAGGCAAAUCUUUUGAAGACUCUAAAUAAGACCUAUUCACAACUUUCCUGCAGAGGACCAAGAUAAAGAUACUUCUCCAAAACUCCCAAUGUGCACAGUUCCCUUCACCCAGCCCAAGCUUCUGGACUGCCCUCAGGAGCCCUGCCUUGGAGACAUACUCCCCAUGCUCCAGAACCAAUGUGGCCCUUCCUAGGGUCCAGGAACAUUCCACCACUGUGCCCAGGAGUAUUCCUAAAAGACUUGUCAACUGAGCAGUUUCUGUAUCUGGCAAACCCAAUGUUAUUCACUCAGCUAACACAGCUGAUUCAGAAGGAAAAUACAACCUUCUCCUGUUUCAGUUCAUUUUGCGCUAUAAACACAGCUUGAGAAACAAACUACUUACAAUAAUAAGUUUGUGUGUCUUAGAGACUCACGAUUCACUUUGUCACCAUCUAGCCUGUGCAGUGUGGUCUUGCAAGUACUGCAGUUUUGUGUUUUGCAACGCAAUAAGCUUUGGGUAAGUGGAUUAAACGCGUCCUCAUUACAGUCAGGAGCAGGAGAGACACAUUUUUGUAGAAUGAGACUUCCCAUUUUGGAUACACUAGGUACUGGGUCCUCCUAGUUUUUUAGUGUUGGCAGAAUUAAAAAAAGGCAGGAUGGUUUUCUGCCUCCCUCUCCUUCCUUUCCUGGAGCCUGGUAUAUACAAGGUUGGUGUGCAAAGAGAUAAAGAUGCUCUUUUAGCAUAACUGCAUGUGAUUACCGGUCUGCACACUGUGAGGCAGCUCUGCCUACACUGUGGGGCGCUCCCUCCCCGCACCCCACCUGCCUUCAGCCCAAGGAUCCAACACUGCAGAGAAAAGCAGCAGAUGAGAGGCAGAGCUAGGGCACCAUGAGGAAGAGUUAGGAGCUGGCUGUGGACAGCAAAUAGGACACAGAAGCUAAGGAGCCCAGUGGGAUGGGAAGAACAGAGAGGUGGUACAAGAAGGAAAAGGGUUUUUCAAGGAAAGCAAAGAGGCACCUGAGGAAACCUCAAGAACAAAGACAAAGAAGCAUGGCCCCAGGGAAUAGAAUAGCUGGAGGUGGUGGGGAAGAUAGCUAGAGCAGGACCCAGGAGCUUUUUCUCACCAAAUCUCUCCUCAGCGGGCUCUCCUGUGGGCUCUGAAGUGUUUUGAAGCCUAAGACUGGAGGGGUGGUGGGGAUAGACUAUUUCACAAAUCUUCUCCCAGACUUCUGGAUGUGUUUAGCCACCUGAGUGUUUGAUUAUUCAGGUCAUGGAUCUAACUGCAGGGUUUAAUAUAGGAGUUAUAAAAGAACAAAAGAGCCUAGAAUAAAAUUUAUGUAUGCUUAUUCCAUAAACAGAGUGCCUCUCUUAAUCUUAAACAAUUUUUUUGAAAAGCGAUCAUAAAUGGGUGUUGCAUCACACAUAUAAAGAGGUCUGAGGAACAAGCCAAGAGCGAUGGGUCGCGAUUGCCGUCACCAGUUGCUGACUCUGGUCAAAGCACUCAGGAGAUAAAGGAGGUGAGAAUGAUAAGAAUUAAUGAACCAAUAAGAAGCCUCAAGGAGAGAGAGACAGGAAGUUACUAAGUAAGAAAAAAAAAAAGAGGGACCAUGGAAAGGAAGAUACAUUGUGGGAAGAACACCUCAGUUUUCUUUCCCUUUUUCACAUCUGCAGGCUUUGCAGGGCUUAUUCACUCGGGAGGCAAGCACAAUAAGGAUAUAACAGGGCCCUGAAGGAUGUGAGAUGUCUCCUGGCCCCAGACGCCCAAGAAAGUGACAGCCAGGAUCCCACUAGAGAGCACUCAAAAGUCCCUUAGGAUCAUCUACCCUUCCCUUUGGGCCAGUUAUCCUUCUCAUCAUCCUGGGAAGGAAACGGGAGAGCUAUUUAAAUUCAACUCAAUCAGUGGAGAGACCAAAGAUCAGCAAUGGAGAAAAGAUAUGGUUGGGAGAUGAAGAACUGAAGCUCAGAAACCUUUAGGAUUCCCUAUCAGGAUCUCAGAAACAGAAAGAACAGAUUCAAGAGGUCCAUGCAAGCCUUCCUGGCUACGAAGUUUCCAGUGUGCCUCUAAAGAAAAGGCCAAGAGAGCGUUGAGGGGAGUCUGUAUUAUGAACAAAUGCAGACACAAGCCGAUAGACAUCUGAAUUUUUUUGUUUCCACCAACAUGAAUAAUGGCCUGAGUUGUUCAGAUGAGGUGACAAAUGUACUGAACACUAAAAUUUGGAUUGUGAAGAAAGAAAUUUGAUUCACAUUAUAGGUAUCAGGUGUAGGCACCCAUGUUGCAAAGAGUAAGAUGCAUGCCCUUUUGACUUCAUCCUAUAGUAUAUGGGGAAAAGAAACAUUUUUUUUUUUAAAUGUACACACUACCUUUUCCCCAAAGAGUAGCGGAAAUUUAAAAUGAAACACUAAGGAGUGUUUGAUAUAAUCAGCAUCAUCCUUAAAAAUAUGAUGAAGGAGGAUAUUUCUCCAAGAUUGUCUCUUCCCCUUCUGUCUGAAGAAAUGUCUCAGAAGCUUAUUCCAGAUCACAGGCAAUGGAAUAAAGAGCUUAGUUGAGUGUAUGACUACAUUUAUCCUAUUUUUUUUUAAAGAAAGGAUUUUCAACUAAAAAUCCAUCUUGAGAAGAUAACAGGACAAAGAGGAUUUCUCCACCUCCUUUUGAAAAUCCAUACAGUUUGCCAGAGGAUUUAAAAUUCCAUUAGCGCAGCUCCCAUGGCUUACUCCAAAGGUGAAUUAGAUUUAGAUGGCUCUGCUCUUUUCUCACACAAUGCUUUUUUUUUUUUUUUUUUUUGACAAGACAACUGGAGAUGCCUCCCUUUGUAUGGCUACAUCCUUCUAGAAGGUUCCUGAUCUACAAAUGUCUUCAAUGGUGGUGGAGCCAGACAGAAGUUCUCUUUAUGGAAGUGUGGGGCACUUUCUAAUUCUCUCAACAGGGCUACCAUCUAUAUCUUAUAGUAAUGGAGGACAGGAAGAGGAAGCAUAAUCGAACACCAGGGAAGCUCUAACUUUGUAAAGUCCAAAGCACCACCUGCCAGCACUGCCUUCUACUUCUUUUGUGGCUCAAUUCUUUUUCCUUCCCCUAACCAAACUGCUAGGUUGGAGGCCAAGCAGUAGUGAUGUGGCACAAAGGUAACCAUCAGGAAGGAGUGAGAAGAGGCUUCAGUUUCUCCAUCCAUGAAUGGAGGGACCAGGACCAUUGCUAUUCCCUACAGCACGGUGCAUACACGACAACUCAGGAAGUCCAAGACGAUUUUAGAAUACAGAAACAGGGCACUAAAUAACAGUGAGAAACUGAUGACCUUUUCAAAUCCCUUUUGAUCUCUCUGGCUCCAUCAGAGAGAAUACAUCAGUUCGAGGAUAAUAUUUCUUUAACACUUCCUUCAUAUUUGCUAAAUUCCCUUGUUAGUGAAAAUUGGGCAGGCUGAAGGCUCAAACAACUGGACAGAAUUUCAUAACAAUGCGAUUGUCAUUCUGUUUAUUUUUUUGUUAUCUUCUAUUUAUAUCAAAUCAUACUGAUUUUUCAACUUGUGGCUGUGAUAAUACAGUUUUUAAAAUAACGUAGGUUUUAAAAAGAAGCCAAUCUCUCUAAAACCAUUAAAGAGUAGAACGCAUUUUUACAAAACAAUGAAUGGUUUAUGUGACUAACCACUGAAAAAUGCUGGACUAGAUGAUUUCCAAGCCCAUCUAGCCCUGUUAUUUUAUUACUGUGAUGAGGAGCAAAAGACCAGAAUAACUCUCAGACUGGAUCAUCUAUCCCUGGAGCUAACUGUAGGUCACUUGUAGAGGCCUUAUUAUUUCCAUUCCUGGCACAAAAGCAAUCAAAUAAUUAGCUCCCAUUGCAUGACAUGGAGCCCAGCCACCAUGGGGGGAAUGGGGGGCACCAGUGAAAAAAGCAUGUAACUCUUCAGGGCUUCUGGUCUAUUUGCUAUUUGCACACAUGUUCAGCUUUGAGCUAGUUAAAAAGCACUACUGAACUGAAAAUGCCUCAUUUUUUCACCCAGUGAAUUAGAAAGCAGGAUAUCACAAGUCUAGGUAUAUAGUAUGUGAGUUGUGGGUAUGGGUGGGACAUGCAUUAUGGGGGGAAAGUUCAAUUCCCUCUGUUAUCUUGGUUCUGUGGUCUUGCUAUUCUAUACGUGUAGUUUACCUAGAGACAAAAUUGUCAUUUUUUGCUGUUAUUUGAAAGGUUUCAAAAUUCAACCUUGGUAAUUUAUUAUUUGGGACCGGGAAUUAGUAUUAGAAAGAUUCUGUGCAAGUCUUGCUGGGAGAGGAUGUAGCCUGUCGCACAUGUCCUUGAGUUCGUUGCCAUGACACAGUGGGUUGACUGCAUUAAUAGUUUCAAUUUCUCUCCUCCCCCACCCCCCAUCUCCAAGCUCCUUUGCUAUAUGGUUUGACAGUUUCUCUCACUAAACAGGUAGAAACUAUCUCUUUGCUCCUUGAUUCUGAGUUUGGCCACUUGAGUGUCUUUGGUCAAUGAGAUGUUAGCAAAUGUGGUCCAUACAGAACCCAGAAUAAACCCUUGAGUGUUUCUGUUUCCACUUUUCCACCCCAGUCAUAACCAUAAGGAAUACAACAGAGCUAGUCUGCUGGAGGAUGAAACACAUUGGCCUCUGAUUCUACUCACUUCUUUUGUUGCAGCUCAUGCUGCUCUGGAUCAGCUGACAGCCAGCUGAGUCCCUUGGCAUGUGACCGAACCCGGCCAAAACCAGAGAACCAUCCAGCCAACCCACAUCCUCCUGAGCUAAUACGUGCUUACAGCUUUAAGCCACUGCCUUCUGGGAUGAUUUGUCCUAUAGCAUUAUCAAUAGGCAAUGCCAAUAUCCAUGGUCAACAGGUAAUGUCGAUACACACCUGAUACACACACUCAACUUCCUUUGCACUGCUCACAGCCAGGAGAGGCACCCUGCCUUUCAGGUGGAUAAAGCCCUAAGUUCUUCACCACCACCUCCCCCUGUAACCCCAGUUUAGGGCCAUUCCCAUCAUCGCUAAAGGAGGAGCAAAUUCAUCAAAUGACCAAUGACUAAUCAGACUCUGUCUUUAGAACUAAAUUGAGGUGCUGGAACUUUAGGGAGGUGAUGCCAGGAACUUCACUAAAAGAUCACGUGGAGUCAGACCACGUUAGAUUGUGUAAAAGUAAAGCGAGCCAUCUGUAAGAAGGAGUGGAGAGUGAGGGGAGGAAGGAGAGAAGCAGAGAGAUGACGGAUUGAUCGAGGCGGAGGGAAGUGGCGAGAAAAGCAGAUGAGAGUGGUCAUGUCUACAGAUUCUGGCUUCUCCAAACCACUUCCAGUUUCAUUUCCAGUCAGCUCACAUCAUGCUUUGUUUCCUGUCUUUGAAUGUCUCUGAGGUUUCCUCUUACACACUUGUAGCCAGUCUUUCUCUAUUAAAGCUAGUUUGAGUGGGUUUUGUUUCUCUUGCAAUUACCAUUUUUCUCUAGUUGAGGACAGUCAUUAACACCUUAGAGAGAAUCAAUGUCUCAGGCUAGUAGUUUCAUCAGAGGGGUCAAUGAUGCAGAGCACUGGGAAUUCAUGGCAGUUAGGGACGGGGCUCAGGGAAAGGUUGGAAGGACAGAAAUAAAAAGCAUUUAACUUACAAUUUGACUAAGGCCUCACCUCACUCUUUUUGACAUUUGCCUAAACAAACUAGGAUCAGAUGAGCUUGUUUUUCUUCCUCAAACCACAAACAACAAAAGAAGUCUAAGAAAAAGUCAAAGAAAUGAUUCACGCUCCCAGAUCUUUGUGCCCUGUCCAGCUCCACUAUAAUUCUUGACUGUGAGGUUCUUGUCACACCUCCUUUUGUGGCAAAAAUACUCCAUCCCAGAAGCAGGGGGGCAGGAACAGGUGGCCCUUGUAUCACAGGGGCAGGGAGCUUGGAUCCAUUCUCACUGCCUUAACCGUGGAAAGACCCCUUAACUGUGGGUCCACACCACCCUGGCUGUCAUGCCACAUGUUAGGGAAUAUGUUUCUUGCUUUUCUUUAAAAAGGGGUUGGGGGAUUUUUCAGACAUCUAUCCUGUACACCAUACAUCUAUCCUGUAAGGUGUCUGAAGGGGGAUGAGCCAGGCUCUUCUUCAAGAGGGAGUGUCUCGUCACAAGAACCAGCAGCCUCCCAUCAGGGCUUUCUGUGCUGAGAAGGAUCAGUCCAGAGAGCCAGACUGUGCAUCUCUCUGCGUGAAUGUAUAUCAUGGACACUAAGCUGUACUGGCUCCGCAAAAUGAUCCAUGGCUCCUGCCGCUGCCCAUCGGAUUGUGCCCUGGAGUUAUAUGACAUCGAGGGAAACAAUCAAUGUGGCCCCUAAUAUGCAGCAAUGCCCUUAUAAGCAAACACAAGUUCCCACUGACAUUAUUUACGAAUCCCCUGUAAGUGUCAAUGCAAGACAUCCAUUCAGACUCACAGCUCAAGCUCCUGGCUCUGCCUGACGGCACACUCCCUCCCGGUGGCCCUGGGUCCCUAACUGCCAGGCUCUGUUUGCCCCAGCCCCUCUCUUGUUAUUUUAGGGCCAUGUACUGUUGAAAUGUGAGCUUUUCACACUUUGAGUGAUGCUCCUCAAACAGUAAAGAAUCCAGAUCAUAGUGGGCCACGUUCUGCUUAGACCUAAGCUCCCAUGAGUGGGCUCACCAGUUCCCAUCACUUGCUACUACGCCAUGAAUCCGAGUCCAACUGUACACUGAAUAUAAGCAUCACGACGAUUCUAACACCCGGCUGGGUGGCAGUACACCUGCAUAUGGUGGAUUAACAACUUUUUUCUCUCUCCCCAGGGCAACACUACACACACCAGGUAAGAUAAACACCUUCACCUUAUAAGAAUUAACCUGUUGAAAAUAAGAAACUCAGAUGGAGAGGUAAGGUGGGCGGUGCAGGGAGGGCCAGGAUGGGAGAAGCAUUUUGCUGUUUGUCUGGGUCUGGAUGUUUUAAAUAAUCACAUUACUGUCCAUUUCCUAUUCAGGAAUCUACCUAUAAUGGAUCCGUCUUAUUAAGUCAUUUUUAGAAACCACUGUACGCAAGGCACUAAACAUGGGUGGGUUCAGUUUGAGUUCUAGAGCCGAUAUUUUGCCAUCUGUGUACUACUGAGUAGAUCAAUUGCUGUAUCUAAGCCUCAACAUCCUCACAUCUGACAUCAUAAUAAUAGAGAUAAUAUUACCACUGAUGAGGAUACGUGUCUAGCUUCCCUCAUUCAAGCGGUUAUCGAGUCCCUUCCCUGUUCUAAGUGCUUGGGAUAUGCCAGUGCCAGCACACCAGACACACCUGCCCUUGCACGGGGCUUUCUAAUACUGGGAAAGGGGGGAG